rnacentral:rRNA from 1 species
UACGGAGGGUGCAAGCGUUGCUCGGAAUUAUUGGGCGUAAAGGGUAGGUAGGUGGUCUCAUUUGUUUGGGGUGAAAGCCUUGGGCUUAACUCAAGAAGUGCCCCAAAAACGGUGAGACUGGAGUCUUGGAGAGGGUCGUGGAAUUCCCGGUGUAGCGGUGAAAUGCGUAGAGAUCGGGAGGAACACCAGAGGCGAAAGCGGCGACCUGGACAAGCACUGACACUCAACUACGAAAGCGUGGGGAGCAAACAGG